AUGGCUGGGGAGGAAGCCAAGAAGGCGGUGCCGGCUGCUGCGGCGCCGGAGGCAGUCGCGGAGAAGGAUGUGCCGGUGGUCAUCCCGCCUCCUCCGGGGGUCAAGCCACCGGCCGACGACGCCAAGGCCCUCGUCGUCGUCGACAGCAAAGCUGCCGAGAAACCUCACCCUGAGAAGAACAUCCACAGGGGCUCACAUGAAAGAGACGUCGCUCUUGCAAAGGUGGAGACGGAGAAGAUGAGCUCUUUGAUCAAAGCAUGGGUAGAGAACGAGAAGGCCAAAGCUGAGAACAAGGCUGCUAAGAAGCUAUCGUCUAUUCUUUCAUGGGAGAACACAAAGAAGGCAACCAUAGAUGCCCAACUGAAAAGGAAGGAAGAAGAGUUGGAAAAGAAGAAGGCCGAAUAUGCUGAGAAGAUGAAGAACAAAAAGGCAAUCGCCCACAGAGAAGCUGAAGAGAAGAGAGCAAUGGUAGUGGCCCGGCGUGGUGAAGAAGUUCUCAAGGCCGACGAGAUGGCAGCAAAGUACCGUGCAACCGGGCUGGCUCCCAAGAAACUUCUCGGAUGUUUCGGGGCAUAA
rnacentral:rRNA from 1 species